rnacentral:rRNA from 1 species
UACGUAGGGUGCGAGCGUUAAUCGGAAUACUGGGCGUAAAGCGUGCGCAGGCGGCUUUGCAAGACAGAUGUGAAAUCCCCGGGCUUAACCUGGGAACUGCAUUUGUGACUGCAUGGCUGGAGUGCGGCAGAGGGGAUGGAAUUCCGCGUGUAGCAGUGAAAUGCGUAGAUAGUGCGGAGGAACACCGAUGGCGAAGGCAAUCCCCUGGCCU